rnacentral:lncRNA from 1 species
AAUUCUGUAACCAGUGCUCUUGAGCUACUUGCUUGAGCCUGCUCCCACUCUGUGGAGUAUACUUUCAUUUCAAUAAAUCUGGCUUUUAUUGCUUCAUUCUUUCAUUGCUUUGUUUGUGCAUUUUGUUCAAAACGUCAAGAACUUGGACAAUCUGUAGUCAAGGACCUCCACUGAUAACAGUUCCACAGAUACACGCAAAGACAAAGAACACAGAAAGCACAUCACCCACAAAAUGCAGAGUACUCUGGAAGAUUCAUAUGUGAAGCCCUAACCCCCAUCGUGAUGGUAUUAGGAGAUGCAGCUCUUGAGAUGUAAUGAAGGUGAGCACACAGCAAGAAGGUAGCUGUCUGCAAGCUGGGAAGAGAGACCUAACCAAAACUUAACCACGCUGGCACCCUGAUCUCAGAAACUCAGUCUCCAGAACUGUGAGAAAAUAAAUGUCUGUUGUUUAAGCCACGCAGUCUGUGGUAUUUUGUUAUAGAAGACUGACUGAGCAGACUAAUACAAGGAUUUUGUAUUCUGACUGUGUCAUGUGUGACUUUGAGCAAUUAUUCAACUUCGCUGAG